rnacentral:misc_RNA from 1 species
CCUGCAUCAUACGGAAUGGAUAAAGGCUGUAAUUUAAUCGCCGGUCCGCAAAAUUGAAUUAUUUAUUAUUCGCUUCGUUUGUAAAACACAAUUAUUCGGCGGCCGAAUGUCAUCAGUCGAUGUCUUUUUUUGUAUCAGUCCGAAUCGGUUCGGUCCUGUAAAUUCACAUAUUUAAAAGCUAAAAAAAUCACUAUCAUACUUUCCUGAUUUCUUUUACAAGCAGUUGUGUCGCAGCGCUGAUAUUGUUCGGUCUCAUUUAUACGUUUUAGAGAAUUUUUAUUUUAACGCGGGUCUUCACCGAGUGCUUCAUAUUUUUUUUUUCGUCGGCAGCUAAUAGCAAAACGUUACAAAUGGGCCCCCUUCGACCCGCCCGACCCCGGUCCUCCGACGCACCAGCAACGACAAAAGAGUGAAAAAGAUGGCAGGCGAUCGCCAGCGCCGUAGCUAAAGGCGCCGAAGCCCCGCCCGUAGCGAGCAUCAUAGAUCAGACAAAAUGUUCGCCGUGAUGCAAAUCGACGAGGAUCACACCAGGGAUUUUAGGCGUAAACUGCGCCCAAAGUGCGAGUUCGUCUGCAAGUAUUGCCAACGUCGGUUCACCAAGUCCUACAACCUGAUGAUACACGAGCGCACCCAUAAAAGCCCCGAGCUGUCUUUCAGCUGCGAGGUUUGCGGCAAGAGUUUCAAAAGGCAGGAUAAUUUGCGUCAGCACAGAUGUAGUCAAUGCUUGUGGCGGUGAAGGUGAUGGAGAUAGCACGAUCCAACAACAGCGGUCUCUCUUACACAAUAGAAGAUAUACACUACAAUUCCAAUAAGGAGACCAUACGAUGGUGAUACAAACAUUGAUCACUGGAACACCAUAGCGAUCACAAAACAUAUGGGAUUUAUGUGUAUUAAUUCUUCUAUUGUUGACACCAGAAUGGGACAAUGCAAUGUUUUAUUUAAGUAAGAUUGUGUAAAUUAACCCUGCUGUCCAGAAGCACCGCUGUUACCGAUACUGAAUUAGUAUCAUUGUUAACAUCAAUCAUUUAAAUGAUAUUUAGUCUUAACCCUUAAAAUUGUGAUUUAAAAGAUUUAAUGUACAUUUUUUACAUUUCUUUUUAAACUAUAAGGUGCUACUGGACAACAGGCAGUUAGAACUGUUUGUAUGUCCAUAUAUUUAAUCAUUUUACUGUUGAUAUAAUGUCUUUUGAGAUAAUAUAUUACAAAAUAUAUUAUUCUUGUAUGAGAUUAUUUCAACAAUGAUAUAAUACGGUUAUAAUUAAUAUUUUUACAAUUAGAUCAAUUUUGUCAAAAUUUUCUAGCAUUCUGGUGAUUUGUACAUAGUAAUUUAUUAGAAUAUAAGUGACGUUAGCAUCUACACGGCUUUGCUGCUUUACUAUUUUAUAUGUAAAAUAAUAUUUAUGUGCUAUUUAAAUAUCGAUUUUAAUAUAAUCUUCUACGUAGGACGUAACUAAUAUUUGAAUGAAAUUUUAAUAAUAUGUUUGAAAUAUAUAAAAAUGUAAACAAAUUCACCUAGUAUUAACCGGUAAUACCUACUUAACUUCCAAAACGUAUUUAUAAGUCGUUCAUUUGUGUAACUUUUUAUAUAGCACUUCCUGACGGUAACCUAUGUACAUUGUAAGGGUUGUUCCUAAUGCUUAGAAAUAUCUACUUGUUUCAAUUUAAUUCUAGCUUGGAUUGGCCUUAAAAUGUGCUUUCGGACAGAAUAUUUGAAAUAUUUUCAAAUUUCCCGUGAAGUUUGAAUAUAAUUUAAAAUGCUAGUUUUGUUCGAAAGAUCGUAAAAUUUAGAAUUAAAUGAUUAAAUACAGUAAUAGUCUUAAGAUAAUAUGUUAUUUUUUAUUCUAUCUUAAAUAUUUACUUCAAUCGUGACUGUAGCGAUUGAUAAUAAUACUAAAUUAUUAUUUGUCACGUUUUAUACUUAUCUAAGUAUACCAUCGGAGCUAAUGUAUAACACACUGAACAGUUUCUUCCAUUUAUUUUAAUCAACUAUUAUUAUUAAUUCUAUAAAACUGCCAUCGUUUCGCUUGGAUAGCGAAAUAGUAAUGGAGAAGUUUUUAAAUACAAGCUUUUUAAUAUGUCUUUACAAAAUAUAUAAAUACAGUUUAUAUAUCUAAUGUCAUAAGACAAUGGCUUCAACAAUUAUUAUUCUAUUACGUACAUAAUAUCCUUGCAAGUUGUGAAAAAUAUUCCAUGUGCCAAUAUGUGACAGAACACUGUCAUUUAGCUGUAUUUUAUAUAGAUUAGUUGUAAAAAUAUAUUUUGUUUUAAUAUUACGAUGUAUGUAUUCCAUUAAAAUUUAGAUUGAUAGUAAUAAAGAUUGUAUAAUUAUUACUUUUGUUUCAUUUUGUCGUUUUUAUUUCGUAAUUUAUUGUAUACAAUAAAAUAUUCUUUUAUCAUCACACCUACGUAAGUGUUUA